GGAGGAGUGGCUGAGUGGUCUAAAGCGGCGGUCUCGAAAACCGUUGUCCUGAGCAAUCGGGACCGCAGGUUCGAAUCCUGCCUCCUCCG
rnacentral:tRNA from 3 species